ACAAAAGGAAGGAUCGUGGGCCAGCAGAAUAAGGAGAGGUCGCGAUAUUUCAACUAUGGACUAGUUAUUCCAUCUCCUACUCAUUUCAUUCAUUCGAUCACAUAUUUCCUUUUUACGAAAUUCUUGGACCAGUUCUGUACUUGCAUAAUAGUUUUUUUUUUUUUUUUAAUUUCAUUUGGUCAAAUUGAUUCUGGAAAAUUAUGGGGCCGAUCUACUUCUUUACGAUUUUUUUUUCUUAUUCAUAUUAAUAAUUACUUUAGUCUAAAGAAGCUGGCAAAAUUGCACUGUAGAAAUGAACAGUGUUUUGCACCACAUUUCAGUUUAUUUACAAGAUUACCACCGUCUCUUCAGUUUCAGAUUUAAAUUUUCAAUUUAUUUACGAAAUUGCCACCCUUCAGCGUGUACGUGUCGACCAUCGUAGAAAGGGUGGGGGAUGGAAGCAAACCCGAUGUUGUUCCAGAGAUCUCUUCAACGACAAGCCCAUUUUGCUCCAGAGCUCUUCAACGACAAAGUCGAUUCAGCGCCUCACCGUCGCACACCUCGCCUUCCCCUCGCCUUCGCACACCUCGCCUUACCUCGCCGCCGCACUCCUUACCAGAACUCGAAUCAAUGGGAGAGAGGCGUGGGAUGGCAGGGAGGGGAAGGGAGAGGGAGGAGUGAGGCUGCCAAAAAGGGGGUUAGGGUUGAUUUUUUAUCCCCAAAUCAAUUGUUGUUGUCGGUGAUUGAACGAGCAUUGGUUAGAGGGGAACUUUCAUUUCCUUUGUUUCUGAACCGGAAUGGGGUCGAUGGGACCAUGCUCUGUUGCACGUUCAGAUGAGUGAUUUGAGGGAUUUGAUUUGAGGGAUUGGUGAUCCCAUCCCGUGUUUUCCCCUCAUCUCUGUCACACUCAACCUCUCUCUAAUCCUUUAUGUUUCUCUCUCUUUUAGACUCUUCCUUUCUCUCAAUUGUCCAUCGCUCUCAACUUUAGUGCUAACCCUAAUUUGUUCUUUCAUUCCUUAAUUUUCUCCAUCCGAGCAAUGAAAAAUCGAACUGGGUUUUCAGAUUAUUGAUGCUUCACGGACAGAGAAUGGAGAGAGUUGAUUAAGGGAGUUGGUGAGUAUGGGCUUGCACAGAGGGAAGAACGCAGAAAGAGAGAGAGAGAGAGGGAGAGGGAGGGAACAAUUGCACAGAGACAAAGAGAGAGACAGAGAGAGAUCGCAGAAAGAGGAGGAUGACAAAAAUUGAGGAGGAACCCGUGUCUGCAGAGAAUGAGACAAAAAACUACCAAGGAAGGAGGAGACUGCCAGGAAUGUAAAACCCAGGCAGGAGAAGACAAGCAAUGGCGGAGGAACCAAGGCUGUAGAUCUUUGAUAAAAGCACUGACAAUAUCAUCGCUCUUUCCAUUCCUUUAUUUUUUGAUUAGGGAUUUGCAUAUUGCUAAAAGAGAGGAAGACAUUGGCUAUUGUGCUGGAUAUGUAGCUGAGUUGAUGAUUGUCGCUACUUACCUUUUGUAUUCUUCACCGUUUUGUUCCUUAACAAGUGUCUUUCUUUGAAGGGGCUUCAUAGAUGCUUGGCAGAGUCCUGACAUCAAUUUUUUAGGGAAUGGUGGCUGAUAUUGACUCAGAUGAAGCCCCUAUUUAUAUAUCCUGAUCAUUUUUAUGUUCUAUCUUUUCUGACUUGGAUGAUAUUGAUCAAAUGAAUGAGUUAGAAACUGAAAGUUACAUUUGUUCCAUCAAUAUGUUGAUCAAAUGGAUGAGUUAGAAGCUGAAAAUUACAUUUGUUUCUUGCUACUUUUUAUACCGAACAGAUUUUGUGUAUGUAUAGUGCUUUAUUUUCAAGGUUAUUUCUCUCAACACCAUGUGAAUGUACAAAUAGUUCUUUCCCAAUUCAACCAAUUUAAAAAUUGGGAUUUUAACUGAUGUUCGUCCAUGGUUCCUUACUUUCCAGAUAUUGAAACAUGCAUAAAUUCACCUGGAAAUUAUUCAUGUCAAUGUCCCAAAGGAUACAAACAUGAAGGCAUGGAUGAAAAGAGUUGUAUCAAAGACAACAAAUGGUCAAAGGCCAUUCUCCUCAUUAUUUCAUUAGGGAUGCAUGUUUUUUUUCUCAUGUUAAUAUAUUGCAUAUACAAGCCUAAAUUUAUUUUAUUGGAGCCACUUUUGGAUCCAAAAUUCUCAUAAAGUAUGUCAUUGAUGAAAGUUAUAUUCUGGUGUCUUUUAGUGAUCUUCAUGUUUUUCGUACAAAAUAAGAUUGUUAGCUUCUAUGGUAAGCAGUAUUAACUAUCAGGUAUUUGUUUUCAUAUUGCAUGAAAUUUCCACUUUUUUCAUCUUUGAAUAGUCUCAAGCACGGUAAAUAUAAUAGCACUAGAAAGUGAGGAAAUCCACUUUCUUUGGUCAGGUUGGAUUCUCUACUAUGACUACCAUUUUUAUCUCUAAACAAAUUUUUAAUGGUAUGUAUGAUAUAAAAGGGUAGAUUUAACUAUUUUGGUUUCUUUGUUCUCACACUUUGGUGCCUGGAGUUUUAAUUUUUCAUAGUUGUGUCUGAGUUGUUUUCCAGUUACAAUUCGGGUGCCAUUGGCAACUUCUAGAGGACCAAAAUUGUUUUCAGGUCAAAAUACAGGAACCAAAUUGUAACUAGACUAGGAGAUUACAUUACCAAAGUAGGAAAGUUCGGUCUUGAUUCAUAGUUUGGCAACAUAAUAUGUAUGUAGGAUGUUGUUUUGGAACCGCUUGGUAAGUGUUAAAUACAUCCUAUAACAUGACUGACUAACAAGCAUGGUCGUUCAGAUAUACAUGCAAUUGAGAUCACUGAUUAAAUCAGAUUUCUUUUAAAUGGAAGCAAAUCUUGCCUAUUAGGUGUUUGUGAAAAUUCCCCAGAGAGUUAGAAACAAGGAUAUGAUGCAAAUCUGAAUGUAGGUUGUUUUGGUAUGUGUGUGUACGUAUAGGGGUGUUAUAUUGAUAUGAAAUGACAUAGAAAAGGAUACACAUCAUUCGAAUAUCUCUAUGUUCCUAGGUUGUUUUUCCAUUUCUUGGUUGCUUCUGUAUUUUUGGGAUGCACUUAUAAAUUUUAUUUUUCAUAUGCAUGUAGAUCCAGCAAAAGCAUACACAUCAAACCCCCUCAUUCACACAACAGCCACCAAAGAGACCAUUACUGAGCUCAACCACCUGCAAGUUUUUGAGAAACAAAGAGCCUCAUCCACAGGAAUCUGUAAUUCAUAGCAGCAGAGAGAAGGUGACGAUGGGUGCACGAUUAGGGGGACAGAGAGAGUUGAUUGGGUACAAGAUUUGAGGGUAGGGUUGAGGGAAUAAGUGUGUUGGCUGUAAAGAGAUGGGCUGGAUGAAAAGAAACACCCGUCAGAGCUUUCAACAACUCGAAGCUCAACCACCUGCAAGUUUUUGAGAAACAAAGAGCCUCAUCCACAGGAAUCUGUAAUUCAUAGCAGCAGGAACCCUGAUUCUGGGAGGAAGAAUACACUGCAUUGCCAUCUUUAGGUAUAUGUGAAUGGCUCACAGAGUUUUUCUGAAUCUGUAGAUCCAGUGGGCCCUCAUGACACUGUUAUAUCCAAACCAAAGUUUGGCGAAUUUGAUAUAUGUUGGAUACAAUGGCAGUUCUGCUUCAGCUAUCCAUGUUACUAGAAGAUCAGAAGAUCAUAAAAGGCAAAAAACAGAAAGAAAUGUUAGCUGCUUCGUUUUUUGUCCUAAAAAUGCAGAAAAAUCUCCUCUUUUAAAUUCAUUCAUAGGAAGGCCUUUCUUAAAGAGCGAGACUAUACCUACUGGUGAGCGUUAUGCAGUGAAUGUCAUUAACCAGAUUGGGGACUUCAUUAAUCGUUUAGAAGCGCAGCCAACGAUGUGAGAGCAGAAGGGGAGCAAGCAUGUGAGUGCGGAAGACUUAGCUGCUUGAACAAGAACGACUGCUGCAGGGCGUUCUACAUGUUUUUGGCUUUCAACAUUUUUGCUUCGAGACUUUGCUGCUUGAACAAGAACGAAACACCAUCUUAACUGCAAGGCAAAAUACGUGUGGACUGGAUGUUACUUCCGUUUCUUACUGAAACAGGCGUCUUGCAUGUUUUUUGCUUUGCACGUUUGUGCUUGAAAACUUUGAUGCUAGAAUAAGAACGAAACAGUUUUUAUGUUGCCUAACCUAUAGGAUAUAUAUUUUGCCACAUUGACUACAGGGGCAAGAUUUGUGUGAACUGUAUGUUACUUCUGUUUAUUAGGGAACCAAAACGUUCAGUUUCGUC